GCAGAGGGAGCCCUGUGCAUGGUGUGAGGGGCUGUCUCUGGCAGCGUGUAGCUGAAGGGUAUGUCUCGUCUGUACUCUGGUGAGGCUUGCAGAGGCUGGCCCUCACAUAAAGAGUGGUCUGAGCCCUAUGUGCAAAGCAGGGAGGGCAGAUGGGAGACUGACAGGGGCUGUGGAUGAGGGGAAAAUUGUGUUUGGCCGCUGGUCCAUAUGGGCAGGUGGGUUGUGCCUGGCCCUGUGUGUGGUGUCAGCAGCAGAGCAGGCACUGGGGAAGUGCUGACUCUGGAGGUGAUGGUGGGUGCUGGCUGGACAGGGGCUGUGCAGAGCUAGGGGCUGUGGGGAACAGGAGGUUGUGGGGGACUCUGUGGGCCUCAGGGGAGCAGCACUGCUGGGGCAUUCCCAUCAGGAGCUGCUCCCCUCUCAUAAAGGGGAACUGAGAGCUUGAAAAGAUCGAAUGAUCUGUACAAACUACUGGGCAGAACUGAGAAUGGAACCUAAAUCUUCGAAGGCCUCCUGCUGUGCUUUAACCACAAAAGGAAUCCAUCCUUUCCUGGUGGAUACCAAUUUACCAUGAACAAAAUUGUGUCAUCCACCAAAAGGAAGAGAAAGGAGGGAUGAAGAAAACUAGAGAAAAAUGAAUGCCUAUAUAAUAAAACAAAUAGAAAAAGGGACUGGGUGGGGGUAAAGACAUCCAUUCUAUAAGAGUAAGAAGUUAGAUCCAUGGGGACAGAUGACUUGGAUCAACACUGCCAUUCUCUAAAAUAGUUGAAGGGUUUGUAAGGUGGGCAAUUAUUGUGAGUUG